UCGGGAAUUUUGGGCAAUGGGCGAAAGCCUGACCCAGCAACGCCGCGUGAAGGAUGAAGUAUUUCGGUAUGUAAACUUCGAAAGAAUGGGAAGAAUAAAUGACGGUACCAUUUAUAAGCUCCGGCUAACUACGUGCCAGCAGCCGCGGUAAUACGUAGGGAGCAAGCGUUGUUCGGAUUUACUGGGCGUAAAGGGCGCGUAGGCGGCGCGGUAAGUCACUUGUGAAAUCUCUGAGCUUAACUCAGAACGGCCAAGUGAUACUGCAGUGCUAGAGUGCAGAAGGGGCAAUCGGAAUUCUUGGUGUAGCGGUGAAAUGCGUAGAUAUCAAGAGGAACACCUGAGGUGAAGACGGGUUGCUGGGCUGACACUGACGCUGAGGCGCGAAAGCCAGGGGAGCAAACGGGGAUUAGAUACCCAUGUAGCCCUGAGCGGGCUGGCAAGGCGCAU
rnacentral:rRNA from 1 species